GACGAACGCUGGCGGCGUGCUUAACACAUGCAAGUCGAACGGAAAGGCCCUGCUUUUGUGGGGUGCUCGAGUGGCGAACGGGUGAGUAACACGUGAGUAACCUGCCCUUGACUUUGGGAUAACUUCAGGAAACUGGGGCUAAUACCGGAUAGGAGCUCCUGCUGCAUGGUGGGGGUUGGAACGUUUCGGCGGUUGGGGAUGGACUCGCGGCUUAUCAGCUUGUUGGUGGGGUAGUGGCUUACCAAGGCUUUGACGGGUAGCCGGCCUGAGAGGGUGACCGGCCACAUUGGGACUGAGAUACGGCCCAGACUCCUACGGGAGGCAGCAGGGGGGAAUAUUGCACAAUGGGCGGAAGCCUGAUGCAGCAACGCCGCGUGCGGGAUGACGGCCUUCGGGGUGUAAACCGCUUUCGCCUGUGACGAAGCGUGAGUGACGGUAAUGGGUAAAGAAGCACCGGCUAACUACGUG
rnacentral:rRNA from 1 species